UGGGGAAUAUUGCACAAUGGGCGCAAGCCUGAUGCAGCCAUGCCGCGUGUAUGAAGAAGGCCUUCUGGUUGUAAAGUACUUUCAGCGGGGAGGAAGGGAGUAAAGUUAAUACCUUUGCUCAUUGACGUUACCCGCAGAAGAAGCACCGGCUAACUCCGUGCCAGCAGCCGCGGUAAUACGGAGGGUGCAAGCGUUAAUCGGAAUUACUGGGCGUAAAGCGCACGCAGGCGGUUUGUUAAGUCAGAUGUGAAAUCCCCGGGCUCAACCUGGGAACUGCAUCUGAUACUGGCAAGCUUGAGUCUCGUAGAGGGGGGUAGAAUUCCAGGUGUAGCGGUGAAAUGCGUAGAGAUCUGGAGGAAUACCGGUGGCGAAGGCGGCCCCCUGGACGAAGACUGACGCUCAGGUGCGAAAGCGUGGGGAGCAAACAGG
rnacentral:rRNA from 1 species